rnacentral:rRNA from 1 species
ACUUGGAGGUUGUGCCCUUGAGGCGUGGCUUCCGGAGCUAACGCGUUAAGUCGACCGCCUGGGGAGUACGGCCGCAAGGUUAAAACUCAAAUGAAUUGACGGGGGCCCGCACAAGCGGUGGAGCAUGUGGUUUAAUUCGAUGCAACGCGAAGAACCUUACCUACUCUUGACAUCCAGAGAACUUUCCAGAGAUGGAUUGGUGCCUUCGGGAACUCUGAGACAGGUGCUGCAUGGCUGUCGUCAGCUCGUGUUGUGAAAUGUUGGGUUAAGUCCCGCAACGAGCGCAACCCUUAUCCUUUGUUGCCAGCGGUCCGGCCGGGAACUCAAAGGAGACUGCCAGUGAUAAACUGGAGGAAGGUGGGGAUGACGUCAAGUCAUCAUGGCCCUUACGAGUAGGGCUACACACGUGCUACAAUGGCGCAUACAAAGAGAAGCGACCUCGCGAGAGCAAGCGGACCUCAUAAAGUGCGUCGUAGUCCGGAUUGGAGUCUGCAACUCGACUCCAUGAAGUCGGAAUCGCUAGUAAUCGUAGAUCAGAAUGC